rnacentral:rRNA from 1 species
GACGAACGCUGGCGGCGUGCUUAACACAUGCAAGUCGAACGGAAAGGCCCUGCUUUUGUGGGGUGCUCGAGUGGCGAACGGGUGAGUAACAAGUGAGUAACCUGCCCUUGACUUUGGGAUAACUUCAGGAAACUGGGGCUAAUACCGGAUAGGAGCUCCUGCUGCAUGGUGGGGGUUGGAAAGUUUCGGCGGUUGGGGAUGGACUCGCGGCUUGUCAGCUUGUUGGUGGGGUAGUGGCUUACCAAGGCUUUGACGGGUAGCCGGCCUGAGAGGGUGACCGGCCACAGUGGGACUGAGAUACGGCCCGGACUCCUACGGGAGGCAGCAGUGGGGAAUAUUGCACAAUGGGCGGAAGCCUGAUGCAGCAACGCCGCGUGCGGGAUGACGGCCUUCGGGUUGUAAACCGCUUUCGCCUGUGACGAAGCGUGAGUGACGGUAAUGGGUAAAGAAGCACCGGCUAACUACGUG